rnacentral:SRP_RNA from 1 species
CCGUGCUAGGCGGGAGGCUGGCGGUCUCCUGAACUCGAAACCCGCCAUACGCGAGGCUGAAGGGCACUAUGAGGCUGCAGAAAAAGGAUUUUCUUAUGUAUAGCUGGACGUUGAAGAUUGGGUCUUUGUUCGCCAACUCCCGCAAACCCCGCCAGGUCUGGAAGGAAGCAACGGUAAGUGGCAUUCUUGGCGGUGCAAAGGCAGCCUGGUUGGAGUUUAUCUAUAUAAAAGGAGCCUUUGUAUGCGGUCGAAAGUGCCGCACGG